AGGGAAUGUUCACCCAUUCUCGUCCCAUGUGUGCCUGGUGAUUUGAUUAAUGUACACUUUAAAUGUUUUUUGAAUUUCUUGAAAAUGAAGAGGCACCAGUGUCUUUACAGCAAAGGCUGGACAAUGUGAAGUGUUGAGAAGAUUCCCAGUGAUGGCAACUGACCCCACCCAUUCCAUUCCAAGCCCGAUAAAUCUCAGCACCCCCGGAAGGAAGUGUCUCAUUUGGAAUUGAGCAGACUGCUAGGACAUGUGCGUCUUUCAAGACAGACCUCCUUGAAAGAGCUACUCAGGACAGGCCAGGAAGGCUAUACCCUUUUGUUGACUUCAAUUUUCUGUGCCAUCAUGUGCUUUUGACCAACCAGUUUGAAUUAAACAGAGUGAGCUAAGA